AGAUGAAGGCCUUCUUCGACUCCAGGCCGACCGCAGCCACGACGUCGACAACAUCCAGAUCAAGCCCGUCAGCUCCGGCAUCUGGAUCGACCGCUGCUCCGGUGCUCCCGCCAGAGCACCGGCAUCACCGUAUCCAAGCAAAGUCACUCGCGACCAAGUGGUUCACACUAUCUCCAAACCUUUUGAAGCAGCGUACAUGUUACAUGAAUCUGGGGCUGACUGAGAGAUAUCAAAAUGAUAGAUGGCAACAUGAGGUUGUAUGCCUGCAGCGCAUGUGCCAGUUAGUGAUGGUUAAUCAAGACCGAGCAAAGGCUAGGUUCAGGUGUCGCUGUCGUGACCUGCUUGGCAUUACCCUGGUAUAAGUUACGCAGUGGUAACCUUCCUUAUUUUGAUGGUUGUCGACACACAUCUUCAGUCACACAUGCACCAUACGAGGUUUUAAAGGAGUUCUUGAUUUUCAGUUUUGGCCCUGAACUUUAGAAUCUCCAUGUCUGAAGUUAGUCCUCUUCCAACUGAGCAAUAGGCAGAGCCUCUAGUACGUGCAGCCGCGCUCCGUCGCGGCCACCUGCUACUUCAAGUCCGCCAACGGCCUCGCAGGAAACUGGGGCUUAUCCACAGCCCAACUCAAUCUCUGCCUCGCCCUCCUUGCCGGUAUAUAUGCAUUCCGUUCAGUCUGUUCGUUGUACAACUUGUAGUCUCCUCAAUCCAGAAGUAGGAGUCCACAGAAAAAUUGAUUAUCUGAAUCACUCAUAAUUCAGUUUCGUUUUCUUGGGGUAAAUUCGAAGAUCCAUUACCAAAAGUGUGAAUAUGAGUGCAGAUAUGCUCUAUCUUUUGAACUCCUAAACUAUUGCCUAUACAUGGCUAUUCUUGCUAUCUAUGGAUGUUCACUUUGGUAUUCAUCAGGAACCAGCUAACAUAGGAGUUCCAGUAAUUUCCCUAGAUGCAAUAGGAUGAACUUUCAUUUUAAGUGAUGGUUCUAUAGUAUAAAUUUCAAAGAUCCACCUCAGCUGCUGCUGUUAUGGAUUUAUAAAUUUUAAUCAUUAUAGUAUUGUGGUGAAUACAAUAGUCUAUUUGAUUUCGAUGAAUAAAAUGUGCAAGGCAGAUCCCCAUUCUUCAGCAGAGCUUAUAUAACAUUCAGAUUGUCUAUUAGAUUAGUUUCUCACUACACUUUGUUUCAUUUUUUAUUAAGUGUAAAUGCAAGGAAUAUACUGUUGUCACUUAGUAAUAAUUCAUCUAUGAAUUAGGAGGUAGGUCAGCAUGCUGAUUGUGCUUCAAGGCACAGUGGUUUGUAGCUUACAAAAUUAGUGUUUAUAUAGGUUGUGCAUCUUAGGAGCAAAGUUUGAUUCAUAGGUAGCUGAAGAAGCGAACACUUUUUGUUCUUUGUCAUUUGCAGGUUUCCUUGCAAAUACUAAUAUGUAUUUAGUCUUGCUAUGUGAUGCGUUGGGAGAAUGUGAUGUGGGGAGGGGACACAACACUCCACUUCAAUUCAUGUUCUUCACGUCACGUUGUCGCCGUGCUUCGGCUAGUUCUAUUGUGCAUGCUUCUUGCUAUUUGGAAGGCAUCAUUGUUAAUUUUUUACGUUAGCUCUUCUUUCAAUUAAUAACAUUACAAGGUUAUCAACUCUUUCUUGGUGAGGAACGUUGUUGCGCGGGACAGGAGAAAGCUUGAGAGCCUGCUGCCCAAUCUCGCCAAGGCGAUGAGAUGUAGGCUUGCUCACCACUGCUCUGCUGGUUGCUGCACUUCCAAGGGCUCAGAUGCUAAGUGAGCACCUCCUCGCUGACAACCUAUUCGUCGCCAAGCUCAUCUUGGAGUGGUUCGUCGGGUCAUCACUAAUGUCUUCUCUAUUUUGAGAUGCUGCAGUUUCACCGCCUCUAGACAGGCCGUUGGCGACCGCCACUGCCACUUAUAUAUAUACACAUAUAUACACUCAAUGUAGUGUGUGCUUCUUAAGCCUGUCGGAGCCGUUAACUCUGCCUUACCCUGUGAGGAACUGUGCCUCUGCAUUUGGAUAGUAUGUGCGACAUGUAUGCCUUGAUCAAAACUGCGUCCCCUUCCUUUUG